rnacentral:misc_RNA from 1 species
UCCGAGUUGACCCCGGCAGUCUUCGAUGAGUCCCCGGCCGAACCGCUGGCAACAUCGAACGAGGGUUGCGCUCGUUGCGGGUCUUAACCCAACAUCUCACGACACGAGCUGACGUCAGCCAUGCACCACCUGUGACCGCCCCCGAAGGACCCGACAUCUCUGCCGGUUUUGCGGCCAUGUCAAACCCAGGUAAGGUUCUUCGCGUUGCAUCGAAUUAAUCCGCAUGCUCCGCCGCUUGUGCGGGCCCCCGUCAAUUCCUUUGAGUUUCAACCUUGCGGUCGUACUCCCCAGGCGGGGUACUUCCUGCGUUAGCGCCGGCACGGAAUCCGUUGAGUGAAUCCCACACCUAGUGCCCACCGUUUACGGCGUGGACUAC